AAAACAUUCAUAGUUUAACUAUCUUUGGAAUAAUUAAGGAACACACAACUGAAGAACAAAAUAAUUUCGUUGGUGUAAUUGAUUGAAAAAAAAAAUCAACUUUUUAGAGCAAUCAGUCGAUCCUUUCAGCUACUUCCAACAAGAACAUGUUCACGUAAUUUAAAAUUUAAAUAUACCUCCAACAAUAUUUUUGCAAAGUUUAAAAAAAUACUCUUCAUUGUUGUCUCAUCUAGAGCCAAAGGAACGCCUAGAGAACCAACAAUUUCAAACAGAAUAUUUGGCCUCCAAUACUUCCUAGCAAUACCAUGCUACCUAGUCCAAGUCUAAAAACAAGUUUGUUUGAUUAAAUUUGGAUUGAAAUAUGUCAUCCAUGCAAAGAUAUGAAGAAUACCCAAGCCAAAUGUAAUGGUAAGGUGUCUCUUAAUUAAUUUGUUUUAGAUUAGUGUUUUGAAUGAUGUCUAUUUGAGUGUAUGUUUGUUGAUUCUCCUUCUCUAACUUUUACAUAGACCACUUGAUCAAGAGAGAUUGCAUAAACUUAUUUGUUUUAGCAUGCAUUAAAUUUGAGACAUAACCAUAUUACAUUGGUAACUUUUGAAACUCAAUACAAAUCAUUUUCUAAGUGUUUUGACUUUGUAAAUCAAUUUGCUCACUUAUGAAUCUAUUCAUAGUAUUCAAGAACUUUUGAAGUCCUAGAGAUGUGAAUCGACUCACAAAUAGUGUGAAUCCACUAAUCAGCAAGAAAAUGAGUUAUUUGAGUUGUCUUACAACUGUGUGAAUCAAAUCACACAACUUUAGACUUCAUUUCUAGAUUUUCUAUCAGUGUGAGUCGACUCACCUAUCUUAUGAAUUGAAUCACAUUACUCACAGACUUAAAAUUUGACAAUUUUAAUAUUGAUAUGACAGUUAUAAAGUGGUUUUUUUUAGAACUCGUUUUUUUUAUUGUGUUACCUCUUUCACUCAUUCCUUAUAUUCAAGCAUUCAAGAUCAUAUCAUAGAUUUAAACUAUCUAUUGAUCAAGUCGAGUUUGCAUUCAAGUAGUUGAACGAUAAACAACAACGAGAGGAUAUAGUUCGUUGGAAUGUCUAUUCCAGAUGCAAAUCAUUGAAGGAUAUCAAUGGAUUGUAUAGGGAGGGUUGAAUGUGUUCUUCACAAAAUUACUAGAAGGAUUUGUAGGUCUCUAUCUUGCAAGAGUGAGGUGUGAUAUUCAUCUUGAAGAUAAGUUUAUGUUUAGAAUUUAGAGGGUGUUCUAAGAUUAUGUGUAGAAGAGUGUUUGAGAAAGAAAUGGUUGUGUGUACAAGUAUUUGUAACUUCCGUCGAAGGACUCUGUAAACAUUCACAAUAAUAUUAAAGGAAGAAAACUCUCAUUUUAAUGGGGACAUGAUAUACUCUACGAGCGAGGACGAAGUAGAAGAACAGGUAUAAAUCAUGGUGUAAAUAUUUCUAUUUGUAACUCUUUAAUUUUUGCAUUUUUACUUUGUUAUUGAUUUUCUAUUUUGUUUUGGAGUUUGGUGGAAAAUAUGUUUUGGUGUACAUUGAUA
rnacentral:lncRNA from 1 species